GACGAACGCUGGCGGCGUGCUUAACACAUGCAAGUCGAACGGAAAGGCCCUGCUUUUGUGGGGUGCUCGCGUGGCGAACGGGUGAGUAACACGUGAGUAACCUGCCCUUGACUUUGGGAUAACUUCAGGAAACUGGUGCUAAUACCGGCUAGGAGCUCCUGCUGCAUGGUGGGCGUUGGAAAGUUUCGGCGGUUGGGGAUCGACUCGCGGCUUAUCAGCUUGUUGGUGGGGUAGUGGCUUACCAAGGGUUUGACGGGUAGCCGGCCUGAGAGGGUGACCGGCCACAUUGGGACUGAGAGACGGCCCAGACUCCUAUGGGAGGCAGCAGUGGGGAAUAUUGCACAAUGGGCGGAAGUCUGAUGCAGCAACGCCGCGUGUGGGAUGCAGGCCUUCGGGUUGUAAACCGCUUUAGCCUGUGACGAAGCGUGAGUGACGGUAAUGGGUAAAGAAGCACCGGCUAACUACGUG
rnacentral:rRNA from 1 species